UUCCCACUCUUAUAAUAACAUUUUAAAUUUUAUAUCAUAAUUUUUUUUUCACAAAUUUGUUUCUUAACACACAUAUUUUCCCAAAAACAUAACAUUUCACAAAAACGAAAAGCAAAAUGAGUGAGACGAUUCCGACGACCUAAUCGCACAAUACACCGCCGUUCAAUCCUCCUUCGCUAUUCAAUCUCCUCCGCCACCGUUUAUUCUCUUUCGCCGCUGUUUAAUCUGGAAGCACAAUCCGUCAAUCUCUCGGUUGUUCUGCUUCAAACCCUACUCCGUCGAAGAACCAAAACACCUCCGCCGUUCUCUGUCGUUCUUUGCAUUUCCAAGAGGAUGAGGAGGGGGACAACCAUGAUAAAGAUACUUGUGGGAAGGUCAUUAUACGUCGUAUUUGUACCAGGUUUACUCCAAGCCAUGUGGUUGCUGCAGCGAUUAGGCGUGUUAUAGAACCGACUUUUUCAGACAAUAUCACUUGCUAUAGUGAUAUCACCCUAGAAAAAGAUAAAACAAUUUGGUUUGAAAGAUUUGGAGUAAGACAUAAUUAAUUUUGUGGUGAUUUGAUGACUUUGUUGAGCCUAUAUGUAACAAAUUAUUAUUUUAUUAUUUCUGAUGUUAGCUUCAUGGGCAUCCCACCACGCGCAACAAAUUAAAACCACAUUUCAUAAAAAAUGUGGCAAACGUUUGACCGAUAUUCUUACCAAGAUAAGGAAGAAGAAUAAAAAACCCGCGUGGAUGAACACGGAUAGAAGUAUAUGAUUAUUCUUAUGUUAUAAUUUCAUGCUUUUAGUUGAAUAAUCAUAUAGUUCAUAAGAAAAUAAGAAAACAUAUGAUCUGUUAUAUUGGUUAAAGUUGAGGUAUGAUUUGUUCAUAAGAAUGAACAAAUAGUUCACUGAAAUAAGUAUCUACAUGUUCAGAUUUUGUAAAGAAAGAAAUAAACAAGUGCCAAAACUUGAAAGUGCGUAAUUAUUUUAGAUUGGUCGAUACUACCAUUAGCAAGAAUUAUAUAUAUUGUGAAAUGAGAUAUAAGGUAUAAUAGUUGAAACUCUUAAUAUAAAAACAUUGUUGAAGGCUUCAUGGGGCUGUUUUGUUUCAUGUCAAAUGAAUUUCAAGAGACUUUUGCUGCUGCUGUUUCAAUGCUUUAGUGUGGGUGGUUAUAUGCUAAUGAUUUCUUGCUUCAAUGCUUCUUGUGUUAUGUUUUCUAUUAUCAUCAAUUGGAAGUAACAGAGGUAUUUUUGUUGCAUCUGAAAUGAUAUUUGCUGCCAUGUGAUUGUGGCAUUUCCUUUUUUCUUUAUUUCCUUGUAUAUCUUUAUACAUUAUUGAUUUAAGAUUCAACAAUUAUAAUCAUGUUCAAUGUUAAUCUUAUAAUUUUGCAUUCGCAGGGCAUUCUUAUAAACUCAGAAUGUUGUGUUUCUUCUAUUCUUUUACCAUGCUGAAAUAUGGUACAAUGUCUUUGGUAAAAAAUUCAAAUAUGGAAAGAAUUCAAAUAUGGUAAGAUGUUUCCAAGGGUAAGUCUCGGGGAAUAUGUUAUGGUACUGGACACUUGGCUAAACACCUUAAGUAUAAAAACUUGAUUUAUGAAUCAGAGGCACCUCACAAUAGGGCAGAGAACCAGAUCAUUGAAGCUGCUAGAGCUGAGGCUGCUGCAGCACGUGCAGAUGCUGAGGCUGCAAGAGUUGAGGUUGUUGCAGCACAUGCAGAUUCUGAUGCUGAUGCUGCUAGAGCCGAGGUUGCUGCGUCAACUGCGAGAACCAGAUCAUUGGAAAUAAAGUUUGAAGAAUUCCAAAGUUGCAUGAUGGCUUUGGAGACGGCCUCCUGUAGUUGUCAUUCUCGUUAGAGUUCUCAUCCUCAUUAUAAUAAUGAAUUGGAUGAUCAAUCGGUAGAUGAAGAGGAAGAUGCUUGAUUUUGUUGGUUGUAGACUUUGUGGGUUAUUUUGAUGGUAAGUUUAAGAGCUAUUUUGAUAGGUUAUAUAUUUUGUGGGUUGUUAUUUUGAUGGUUGUAGACCUUUUUGUUGACAUUCUAUAUAUAUGGUUAUAUAUGAGAAAUAGAUGGUCAUGUUAAGAAUUGAUGAAUUUAAAUGGAUGUAGACCUUUUUGUUGAGAUUCUAUAUA